GAAGAUAUAUAAAUGAUAGUCAUUAAUUUUAAGGAAAAAGUUAUUUUUUCCCAUUUUAUAGGUUGACAGUAGGAUUACAGCUUCACUCCAAGAAUUUUCUUCUUACCAAGCCUGAGCAAAGAGCACCACUCCUAGACUACUUGUGCUUCUGUGUGCACGCUUCUCCAAAAAUCAAGUGACUUCACUGGUAGUUAAACUGAGAAAGACUGAGUAGAUGUGGCUGUCCCAACGCUACCUGCUUUCUUCCUCUUGCUGGCUGAGAACUAUUAACUGCCUUUUAAACUUCGGAACAGUGUCCCUGUGCACCACCGUGAUCCUCAAGUGUGUCUCUCCUAACUGUGU
rnacentral:lncRNA from 12 species